ensembl:piRNA 21ur-8422 ncRNA
UUUGUAUCUGGUGGCAUUAAA